rnacentral:rRNA from 1 species
GUAGGUGGCAAGCGUUGUCCGGAAUUAUUGGGCGUAAAGCGCGCGCAGGCGGUUCUUUAAGUCUGAUGUGAAAGCCCACGGGCUCAACCGUGGAGGGUCAUUGGAAACUGGAGAACUUGAGUACAGAAGAGGAAAGCGGAAUUCCACGUGUAGCGGUGAAAUGCGUAGAGAUGUGGAGGAACACCAGUGGCGAAGGCGGCUUUCUGGUCUGUAACUGACGCUGAGGCGCGAAGCGUGGGGAGCAAACAGGAUUAGAUACCCUGGUAGUCCACGCCGUAAACGAUGAGUGCUAAGUGCUAGGGGGUUUCCGCCCCUUAGUGCUGCAGCUAACGCAUUAAGCACUCCGCCUGGGGAGUACGACCGCAAGGUUG